GAACGCAAACAGGGGACAGAAAAGCUCAGAGCACAGAGGGAGUGUUGUUUCAGUCUUUGCACAGGACACCAUUAUAUAUCUGAAUGUUUUCACAG